rnacentral:lncRNA from 1 species
GGCAUGGGGAUGCUAGAUCCAAGGAGGGGACGGCAACGCGGGGGCUGGGGUGCAAGGACGAAGGCUCCGACAGUGCAGUGGAGGAAGAACAGGGAUUGGAGGAUAGGAAACAAGGGGGAGGCAAUGGAGAAUGAACCAAGCGAUCGGGGAGGGGGGUGAUUAAUUUUUAGGGUAGAGUAUUAGCGAUAGUUAAAUUGCAUCAUUAAAGCCAUCAGUAAUAAUAAAAAAACUAUAGCUAAUAAGUCUUUACCCUUUUAACGAUAGGUUUAGUUUCUAUCGUAAUAAGUGGUUGGUAAAUGUUACUAUUAGCGAUGGCUCGUUUGCUAUCGCUAAUGGCCAUCACUAUUACACUAUUUUCUUAUAGUGAUUGUU